CAGCAUUACUCUGGAGAGUCUUCACCGGCUUCGGCAUACGGUGAAGCGCCGAAGGUGUACGGCAGAUAGUUCUGCCAAUCUCUCAGGCAAAAGGACAGAACACGUAAA
rfam:Eubacteriaceae bacterium CHKCI004 isolate CHKC4 genome assembly, contig: {contig23}